AUCAUCCUUUGUCUGUGUGGUUCGAUUCUAUCGUAGCGAAUGGACGACGUUUCCCUUCUAGCCCACGCGUCCAUCAUCGAUGGUCCCUUCAGUUCGACUUCUUCUCGAUUUCGCUUCUCCCCUUUUGGGUAUUUUGGAACCUAGGUUUUUUUCUCUCCCGCAUCGCCCUUUUUACUUGCUGUUUAGCGUUGCCAUCUUUCUCCAGAUUGGCAGGCCGAUAGAAUCCGGCGAGGUCAGCAUGUACGUCUAUAGAAUUACCGCCUGUGAUCUCAGCCAUCUCAGCCACACUCGCGUAACCGUUAAUUUCGUUGUUCUGUUCAGAAGCAGUUGAUUGAGUGGAUGCGAUUCUGUUGAAGCUGAAAAUCUUUGGAUGAUAGUUUUAGUUUUAUGAUCAUUAACCUCCAUUUCUUAUGCACGGUCAAUAACUAUACAAUGCGUGAAGGUAGCCUAGCUUUUAUUGUUCCUCCCUGCGACCUUAUAUUAUCUGCACUCAAAAUAUGUUGUGCAGCAUAUUUUCUGUUUCAUUUUGUCGACAUAUGCACUGUUUAUAUUAUCUGCACUCAACAUAUGCACUGUUUAUAUGCAGUGGAGUGGAUUAGAAUUACCUCAUUUUGAAAUGUUCUUCAAAAUUUAAAGUGUGAUUUUGCAUUUUGUUAGUUAGGCGGCAGCCGGGUUGGAGAGGUAGUGGGAGAAGAAAUGUAUUGCCACCGAAGAAAAUUGUCUAGCUUUCGAUAAAUCACAGAUAUGACAGAUCAAAAGCACUAUGUAUUCGAAUUGCAUAGGGUGUUGUUGCUGGUGCUGUACUCUCCAUGGAUAUUUUGGAGCCGUUGUGUGAUUUAUUGCAUCUAGGCCGGCCUUGCUUAUGGAGAUCUUUGUUGAUGUGCUCAGGCAAAAAUUAUAGAGGAGUUUAUUUGUUGGAGACUUGAAGAGUAAAACUUAGCAGCGCAGUACCGCUGGAAGUGGUAAUUGCUAAUCAGGGAUCGAGCAAGCGAAUCACAGUUCGACCAAGUCUUGAAUGAUGAAUUGAGGCAAAUCAUUGAGGUCUCUUUGUCAAGUUAAAUUUUCAUCUACUUUUCAUUUGUAAUGCUUAGUUCUUCACUCAUGAAUUUGCAUAAGAUUAAAUAAAUUUUCAAACUCGCAGCAACGUGUUGGCACUGUUGCUAGUUAGCUUCUAUUGGGCAUUAUUAAUAUUUCUAUGAUUGGGUGCGUAGUUCUAUGAUUAAGAUUAUUAAUUCAUAUUUUAUGUGGUAUAUAUGUAUUUGUGAUGUUUUCAACAA